rnacentral:lncRNA from 1 species
GAAGACAUUGGUGAGGACAUCGGUAAGCAACUGAUUACUGACAUAUCCGUGGCGCCGUGUUUUAGUAUUGCGCUUUAUGAAAGCACUGAUGUAAGUGACAAUUAUGUGUUUGGAUCCGCUUCCCUCAAAAUGAGUCGUUCAGAGAGGAACUUUUAUGUUUACUGCCCCGUCAGGGACAAACACGAGAAGAGGAUAUUCUGAAAGCCCUCAAAUCUGGCAUCUGUGUGCACUGACGGCGCCCCAAACAUGCGAGGGAAGAAGAAGGGACUCAUAGGCCUGACGAGAAAGAGAAAGGAUAUUCCCGAAUUUGUUACGUUUCAUUGUAUCAUUCAUCAGGAAGCACUUGUGGCUAAGCUCAAAGACUGUGACUUACAGAAUGUGAUGCAGCAAGUCGUGUGUGUGGUGAACAUAAUUAUUGUGAGGGCACUGAAUCACCGGCAAUUCCGUGAGUUGCUGGAGGAAUACCAGACAGAAUACGGCAACUUGAUAUUCCACAAUGAGAAGGACUUCGCUGGAACUUGUCCGGCCGAUUGGCCAUCGCUCUCGUCGGACGAUGUGUUUCACAAAUCCUGACCGGUCAAACAAAAGGUGAAUUACAGGAGAAGGUGAUUCACUCAAUCCAACCAAGAGACUGGGUGUGGAUCCAGUCCCUGAGGAGAAAAGACGGGAAGCAGCCCCGUGGGGAAGGCCCAUACCAGGUGCUGUUAAACCAUUGCCUUUGCCAUUAGAAAAGCUGAGAGUCACUUGGGUCCACGUUAUCCACUGCAAGAAGGUAUGUACACAUAUCCACUGCUGAUCACACACAGAGUUAGGAGAAGAACCGAGUACCAACAGGGUCCGGGGGUUACCUCCUUAACGAAGAUUUCCUAUCCCGACCGUUCAUCACUGUGUGUGCUCCUAGAGGUGUGAGUAUGGGGUGGUACCUAGCAGAGAGACUAAGGGCAGGAGAGGGUUGGCGGUUUUUGGGAAGAGUAGGGACUCUGAGCUGCAUCAUAGUCUAAUCUUUCUGAUACAUUCAGAUCCACCACCUUCUGGUACUAAUCAUACGAUACCGUUGUCAUUGAGAAGAAGUAGAAUAUAAAGUAUAUAAUACACUGAUGAGUGACUUACAGAAUAAGGAGUCAAAGAAGAUCAAGAUGUGGGAUUUAAGAUUCAUGAAUGAAACCGGGGAUGCAGUAAAGAGGUUCUCUGACCAAUUAUCCGCCACCUCCCUCAUGACCUGGUAAAAUAGACUGACUCUCGAUAUGUUACUGGCAAAGGAGGAUGGUGUAGGUAGAAUGAUUAGGUUCAUUGCUGUACGUACAUUCCUGAUAACACAGCCCAUGUUUGGGAAAUGGAAAAGUGUUGUAGGAACGGUAUUAUGGGCAGCUUUCACCUGUAUGAGUGUGUUUGGGUUGUUGUUUGGUCCCGUGUGCGAGAGGUCUCAUUUCCACGGUUCUGGAGAGAUCAAUAACGGAGCAGAUGGUGAGUUCAGACCAGUGGGACGACAACUACCUACCGCCGAGCCUGGUGGAGGAUUCAUUCAACUAUGAGGAGCCCAUGAUAAGAUGAGACCAUCUUUAGAGUUUCCUGAAUUAGUUUGAUUUUGUGUGAAAUUUCUGAAUCCAAAAAAAAUAGAUGUGUUAUAAUGUAUGUGAAAUAUUUAGCCAAUCGGGUGGAUAUAAUGAAAGGUUUGACUAAAAGAUUUCACUCAGAAACCUUAUAACCUGUUGAAAUGUAUUCGAAAUACAGCUAUAAUAAUGGGUUAAAAACUAUAUUCCAAUACUGUGUGAGUAAGACACUGUUACCAGAAUGAGCAGGGCAGAGUUGAUAAGACGACCUUGGGAAGGGAACAGGAGAAGAAGCCUCCCUAAGUUAGGGAGAGUAACAACGGCCUGGGAACGGCAGGUGGGCAGGAGAUUAGAAGACAGGUGGCAAGGUUGUUAAGGAAUGUAUGUGUACUGUGGGAAAAAUACAGCCGCCUAAAGCUGGGUUGAGUUCUUUACUGAUGUGUGUGUAACAGAGAUUUGUUAACUAUACUCGCACUGCACUGACAGGUAUGGCUGAGCAACUAGAGGCUACCACUAGAACCACUAGACAAAAUAGAUUGGAGUUGGAUAUGAUAUUGGCUAAUAAUGGGGGGUGUAUAAAACGUUUGGUGAACAAUGCUGUACUUUUAUCCCUAAUAACACUAGCCCUGAUGGUAAGCAUUACCAAAGCCCUACUGGAACUUGAAAAGCUAUCUGCUGAAAUGAAGGGUGUAGCAGGGGUAUACGAGGGGAAUUGGCUGAACAUCUUUUUUGGUAAGUACACAUCUAUGGUGGUUACUGGAUUUCUGACCCUAGUGCUUGUGUUCUUAUUAUUGUUGUGUUGUGUUGCCUGUAUAAUCCCUUGCUUGAGAAAAUAUCUUACAGAAGUUGUCAGAGCAACCGGAAUGAUGUCUUUGAUGGAAGUGACCCCAGUGGAUACUGAAUCAACCUCUAGGCAAAAGACGGGUCUGUCUGAGGACGAUCCUUGGUUUGCUGUUGGGGAAAUGGUUGAAUAAAGCUUAUCCAAAAUGUUCUCAUAUGUAUUGAAUGUAGUGGCAGGUGGAUGUGAAGGUUUUAAGUACUGGGACAAAAAGUCUGUCCCAUACAUGUUAGGUGUAGCCACUGUCGCAAAAAGGUCUUCUUUUUAUACGUUUUUUAAAUAAUAUGUUCUGAAUUUAUCUUGUGUACUAUUUGUCUUUCCUUAUGUGAAGGUUUGAAGUUCCUGGGUGGCUGGUAGUCAACCUAGUACAAGUGAGGUGUAGCCGGAAGGACUUGAGGGUUUUUUAACUAAUCAUCUAAUCAUUAAAAUGGGAAUUAAAAAUUGUGUUGAGUGACACCCUAGGGGGUGUCAAAAGGGGGAAUCUCAAAAUUUCCCUGACAUUUUAAGAACUUAUAUAUUCACACUUAUCAGGUGUGAAAAGGGGGAUUGUUGGGUUUUAUUUCACUUAUUAGAUGUGAUGCAUUACCUUUUACAGUAGAUGUAGGCCUAAGUAUGAACGGACUGUAAUGCACUAAGAGGUUUAUAUUGUAUUAACAUAGAUUGAGCAACAUAUAAUAGACAUGACUAACUGGAGGGUUGCUGGCUAGUAGGAGUGUAGGCUGAGUAGACUCUUGACACACACACACAAUGCCUGGUUGUGGGGCCGCUCAAGGACAGGUGUACGGGAGGGGCUGGUAGAAUGGAAGAUGGCUGUAGCACAAAAGCAGAAACUGUCCUAACUGUAGCAUAAAAACAGGCACUGUCCUUGGGUGUCUGACUCUCGGGUACACACAUGAAGAUAAGCUAGAAGACAACUAUGCUUGGCAACAAAGAUGCGUCUAGAGGCUGGUACCAGCCUGCACGCCAACGAUAGGAUGAGUAAGUUUAAACCACGCUCAUCCUCCCUCUGACAGGCCAGGUGUGAGCGGGAACUAUCUCUGUCAGAGUAUUUAAUGAAGAACUUAUGAUGUCAUUUUCAGUUCUCUGUUUGCCCUGC